UGGGACUCUCGUGGUUAGUGUGAUUGUUGUGGUGGUCGGGUGUGUUGUGGAUGAUACUCUCGUGGUUAGGAAAAGAAAGUGAGAAGCGGGAUCUAACCUUCCAUUUGGAGUUUGUCGGUGAACCGGGAAGCGAGUAUCAAGAACUGGUGAGGUUUGUCGGUGAAACAGAUAAGCGAAAUCGGUGCGACGAACAAGAAAAUCAAAGAGCCAAAGGUCUGGUGAGGUUUGAUUUGAACCGCAAAGUUCAAUAACUUCUGGGACGAGAAAUGAAAAGCGAGCCAUAGGAUUUGGUUAGACAGAUAAGCGAUUUCGGAGAAGAGAAUCAGAAAGUAAAAAAGACAAGAUUAGGGUUCAUCGGGUUCAACGGGUUCAUCGGGUUCAUCGGGAGAAAAAGAUUAGGGUUCGUCGAGAUUGAGAUUGAUUUACAAGAACCAUGAAAAUGUGAAAAGAUAAGGUAAACGGAUGGUUUGUAAAAAGUAAAAGAUAAGGAAUUAGUUUUGUUUUGGUUAACUAGAUUGGUCUAGUUGGGUGGUUAACUAGAUUGUCUCUUGUUGAGGGUUAUAUUAGUAAACAUAGCAUAGAGAAAGUGUGAUGUAUCACAAUGUAACUUAGAGUGAAAUUAAUAAGAUAAAAUGUGUCUCUGUGAUUACAUUAAGGUAAUUGUUGAUUUACAUCAGCACCUAAUGUAUAGUCGUAUCAAAAACUAUUUUAUUUCUUGUUUAUUGGAGAAUCUAGAAACCAAGAUGUAAUUUUAUUUUUGAUAAAACACCAAUAUGUCCAUACAAAUUGCACAUAACAUGUAAUUGUUGAUGUACAAGAUGGUUAGCAGCAUUCCAAGACUUGGUAAAGAGUCUUCAAUAGGAUCAGCAAUAGACGUACACCUCAAAUCAAGAUCUCGAGAACCAUUGGUUACAGAGGACUUUGCUAAAUGAAAUUUCGAUGUAGGUUCAACACAGAUACAAGACAUAUAAGAGGUGGAUGGAUAGUAUGCAACCACGAAGGGAAACCUCUUUAUUGAGGUUUAGGAAAAAAACAAAUUUCUCAAGUACACCACUGAAAACUGAAGCUAAAGGUUUAUUGAUGACAAUGCAGUACACAUGGAACAUAAGAUUCAAAUCAAUUAUGGUCGACAGAGAUUGUAAAAUCUUAUUUGAUUCAAUACAAAGAAAAAUUGAAAAUGUCUUUAUUUAAAAUAUCAAUUUUGAUAUCUAUAUGUGGAGUAAAAUUUCUCAGAUCCUACUUUUGUUUCACCAAGAUAAUAAAAUUUUCUUAGAGCAUCAUUAUCGGACGUAGUUAGUGGAGCUCUUAAUGAUUUUUGGGUUUAAAAGAAAAUAGAAAAUCCAAAAUAAAAGAAGCGGCGUCGCUUAAUUAGUGUUUACAAGGGACGUUGCUAAUUGGCACGUGUCAUCAAAUGAGAGGAGAGAGGAGAGGCGUGUAUCUCCGUUUCGUCUUCUGUUCUUUCUCUUUCUCUCGAGACAUCUUCUCUUCGGCUUCAAGAAGGCGAAUCGCUGUCUCUCUUCCCGGUGGAUCUCCUCGAAGAAACAGCGCGACUCCCCCUCUCCGUGGCUCGUCGACGAAACGGAAGCCUCUCUCUCCGUGGAUCGUCGACGAAUCGACGAUUCUCUUUCUCUUGGUGGCUCCUCGAUGAUACGACGACAGACCUCUCUCUCGGUGGCUGUCCUCGAGCGCUGAAUCUCUCCCUCUCCGUGGGUCUCCUCGACGGCGAGGGACCGCUCUCUCCCUGUGGCUCUAGUCGAAUCGAAAGGUAAAUCUAUGGUUGCCUCUUCAAUCAUGCAUGUCUUUGAUUAGACUUCUUCUUGUUCUGAUCGCAUGUUUUAUUUGUUUGUAGGUUUGAUGAUGUCUCGCGGUGGCUCUCCUCGACGGCGACGGUGCUCUCAGCCGGUGGCUCUCCUCGAUGGUGACAGGGCUCUCUGUCCUUUGCUCUCCGCGAUUCGUUCAGGCAAAGCUUAUGUUUAAUGUUCAAUCAUCAUGCAUGGCUUAGAUUGUGCUUUGAUCAGUUGUGAUUUUUUUGUUUCAAGAUCAACGAGUUGAUAAUGUUUCUGUAUGUUGAUUAUGUUGGCUUUAGGUGUAAUAUAUAUUGUUUCAUUCUCGUAAUGUUUGUUGCAUGUUAAUCAAAUUUGAUUUGGCUUAUUUCAGUCGAUUAAUAUAUUUUGUUUCUGUCUUUGUGGGCUGAGAUGUUGGGAUCAAAUGGCGUUAGAUAUACAAGCUGUGGAAACAGAGCUGAGGAAGCUUUAUCGAACAACGGACUACAAUAUCAAAACAGGUCACGGUAAUGAGUGGAGCAUUGGAGUCGGUAGUUUUCUCAUGUCAAAGACAGUAUGGUGCUGUCUUGUACUCUUUUGUAAGGACUGUCUUGUAAUCUUUUGUAAGACAGUUUGUAUGUUUAUGUCACGGACGCUUUGUAUGUUUAUGUCACGGAAUCUUUGUACUCUUUUGUCUUGUUUUUUUUUGUAUGUUUAUGUCAGGGACAAUGCAUUUGUAUGUUUCAUGAAUUAUAAAAUAUGCUACCCUUUAUCUCUUGCUUCUAUAAAUUGUUCUUUCUCUACAAACCAAUCACAAACGCAUUGUCCCUCUUCCUAUGAAACCAAAAGCGAAGCAAAAUCACCAAUUCAUUCUCCAUCUUCUUUCCAAACCAAAAGCAAAGACAAAUCACAAUAUCAUUCUCCAUCUUCUUACCAAACCAUCACCGAACCCAAAUCACAAACUCAACCUCCCUCUUCUUACCAAACCUCGAUCCCAAUAUCAUCUUUUAUCAAAAAAAUAUUCUCUCUUCUAUCACAAAUAUGGCUUCCUCUUCUCAAAACCCUUUUGAAGAAUCAUUUGAUACAUUUGAUCAAUAUUUUGAUCAAACCUUCGAGAAUUUGACCAUUGGUCAUCAAGAAGAAGCAAGGAAACAAAGAAAAAAAUGAGCUUAUAUUGAUAGAAAUCGUGAAGAAGGACAUAUUCGUUUAUGGAAUUAUUAUUUCAGUGAUACUCCAACGUAUCCUGAAAAUUUCUUCCGACGACGUUUUAGAAUGAACAAGCCGUUGUUCAUGCACAUUGUUGAUCGACUCUCCAACGAAGUUGAAUACUUUCGGGAAAAGAAAGAUGGUCUCGGAAGGAAUAGUCUCUCUCCUCUACAAAAGUGUACUGCAGCCAUUCGUGUCUUGACACAUGGUUAUGCGGCAGAUAUGGUCGACGAAUACCUCCGGCUCGGUGAAACAACUACUCGGUUAUGUGUACAAAAUUUCGUGGAAGGAAUAAUAUAUUUAUUCGGCGAUGAGUACCUAAGAAGACCAACACCGACUGACCUUCAACGCCUACUUGAUAUUGGAGAGCAUCAUGGAUUUCCCGGGAUGAUAGGAAGCAUCGAUUGUAUGCAUUGGGAGUGGAAGAAUUGUCCCACCGCUUGGAAAGGGCAAUAUUCUCGUGGUUCGGGUAAACCAACAAUCGUUUUAGAGGCGGUUGCCUCGUAUGAUCUUUGGAUAUGACAUGCGUUUUUUGGCCCUCCAGGUACCUUAAAUGAUAUCAACGUUCUUGAUCGCUCACCUGUUUUUGAUGACAUAAUAAAAGGCCAAGCUCCUCAAGUCAGUUUCUAUGUCAAUGGAAGAGAGUACCAUAUGGCGUAUUAUCUCACCGAUGGUAUUUAUUCGAAAUGGGCUACUUUUAUCCAAUCUAUUCCAAUACCACAAGGGCCGAAAGCAGUUUUAUUUGCCCAACGUCAAGAAGCUGUCCGAAAAGAUGUCGAGCGUGCUUUUGGAGUCUUGCAAGCUCGAUUUGCCAUUGUUAAAAAUCCAGCGCUGUUUUGAGAUAAAGUCAAAAUUGGGAAGAUUAUGAGAGCAUGUAUCAUACUCCAUAAUAUGAUAGUAGAAGAGGAACGAGAUGGAUACACUCAAUUUGAUGUUUCAGACUUCCAACAAGCAGAAGACAACGGAAGUUCACAUGUGGAUCUCACGUAUUCUACAGACAUGCCUACAAAUAUCGUCAAUAUGAUGGGUGUCGAACAAGAAUUCGUGAUAGACAAAUGCAUCAACAACUGAAAGAUGAUUUGGUUGAACAUAUAUGGCGUAAAUUUGGACGUGAUGAAGACAACAACUGAGCUCGGAUGCUGCUUUGUAAUAAUUCUCGUGUUUUUUACUAAUCUUUGUUGUCAUGUUUUUAUUAUGUUUUAUGUAAUAAAAAAUUUUUAAUUUAAAAAAAAAAUUAAAAUUUUUUAAGAACCCAAAAAUAAGAAACUUGCAAUGGAGGAAAAAAAAAUAUCAAGUUGCUUAGCUAAGUCUCUUAUCAAAAUUAACACCUUAAAUACUAUUAUAAUAUAAUUAAGCAACCUAUUAUGAGUUGUUAGGAUGGAUAAUGAUACUCUUAGCUCAUUCGCUUACAACUUAUGGUGAUCUUAACUUCUUCUUCUAUACAUAUCAGUUGUUUCUGCCUUAAUGGCUUCAUAAUAUUUUGUAUCAUGGUUAUGUAAAUUCGUUUUUUUUUUUAAUAUGAAUUUGACCUAAAAGCUCUGAAACUUCUUAACUAGAGUCAAACCAAUCAAAACUAGACAAACACCACCACCCUACAAUCUUAAAAAAAACUUCGCAAAAAUCAAUGUUUGUACGCACUGAAGUGAAAAUUAAUAUUUUCAAAAUGAAGAAUCAUGCAUCAUAAGAAAAAGAAAAUUCACACAACAAGCAAUUAAAUCUUAAAUAAAGGCCAAUAAAACUCUCAACAAAUAAAAAUAUUGAUUUAAUAUUUCUCGGACCUCACCUAGUCUUUUUUUUUUUUUUUGAUCAACGACCUAGUCUCUUUUAUGUAAUCUCUAUAUAUAAUAAGCUACAUUUUCUAUAUUUUUAUUGGAGAAACUAUAAGCUAAUCAUUCAUAUUCAUGUACAAUUAUGAGUUUAAAUAGUCAUAUAUAUUAAUAAAAAUAUUGUAUGUUAAUAGAAAGAAAAAAUCAAGCUUAACAUUGGUUAAUGACGGUUAUUAUUCGACACAACAAUAUAAAGUGAACAUACCUAAAAAAUAAAACUCCAUUCACAAUUAUAAGUUAAAUUUCAAUCCAUCGAUUUUUGUUCAAAUAUUUUUAAAUAUAAGCUUAUUGUCAUAAUUAUGUGGAAUUACAAGUAUAAAUGUAAACUAUAAUAAAUAUAUAUAUAUAUAUAUAUAUUAUUAUAAAACAGAGUUUCCUCCUUCCUGAGCCCUCCACGUUACCUGCCACGUCAAAAAGUCGGGCGCUGCUGAAUCGACAAAAUAAAACGCGCCUUUUCAUUUAAUUUGUGUUGCGAUUCAUUGGGGUUUAGUUUUGUUGGGCUGUGACUUCUCUUUGUCGGCCCAUACCAUAAUAUAUCAAUGAAACGCUGCGCUUCCUAUAAAAUUUAGUGUGUGUUUGUCUUCGCAUCUCUAAUGGCGAUUAGUGUUGCGCAGACGAUCUUUCAUCUUCUUCCUUAAGGAAGGGACGGUUAAUCUAUGAUGUAUAAAGAGAUUUUGCAAGGCCAUGAUGUGAAAAGCUACAGCAAGCUUAUGGGGUCGAUCUACUUCUUCUUGACGAUACGGAGGGUGAUGGGAGACGACUAUUUAUAGUGAAUUUCUACUGGAGCGAGAUACUGUUCGUGUCAUUUGGUCUGGAUUUCUUCUCGCUGACAAAGGGAAACCGGAACCGUUAUGGGUUUUUGGAUUUUUACCUAUCCUUGCAGGCUGGAUUGUAAACCUUCAACGAGUCAUAGGAUUAUGAACUGAACGUGAUCUUUCCGGCUAGAUUUCAAACUUUCAAAAGAAAGUUGUUCAAGUAGAUGUCAAAGGUCUUCGUGCCACCCCAUCCUUUGAUCAAACACUGGAUCUUUGUCCUCAGAAACGACCAAAAAUCCUUCUCCUAUUUUCAACAAGUGGGUCCCAGUCUCAGAUAUUUAUCUUUGCACAUGUGAAAUAAAUCAUGAAAAUUGGUCAAAGAGUGAAUGACUUUGGGAGGAACAUCAGCAGGCUGUUUAAGCACAAACUAUCUGUUGGGAAGCGUGUCAGAACGAGGGCAAACAUCGCAGCUGGGGCUGUGUCCAUCAGCUCAGCCGUAGUCUUAGCUUAGCACAAUAACAUUAUUUUCUAGAGGCCCAGUUGCUAAACCUAAGUGAUGUUAAAAAAAAAGCAAAGCUGAUUAUCAGUCGUUGUCGUCUCAGCUAAGCUUCUGUUCAGGGGAAGGCGUAACAAAGGUCAACAAUGGCAGACAAUCAAACCUUCCGGUCAUGGUGAAUUCACAAAUCCAUCUCUCCAAAUUGAAGCCAAGGCGCAGUAAGCAGGUUGUGGUCACACGUCUGCUUUGGUUUUGGGAAUCUAGAAUGUUAAGAAAGGAGGAAAGCUAAUUGGGGUUGACAUGCUAUUCGUCGCAGAAAAGGGAGUUGAAGAGCUUCACUUUUUCUAAGGAUCUCAAGAGUAAAGACACUUCUGUCCGAGAGUCAUGAAAAGCCUCUGCAUGUAGAAACAGAGAUCGUAUCUACGGCCAGUAGUCAUGUCGGUAUCUAAUGGAUAUUGUUAAAGGUACAGAGAAACAAUGAUCACGUUCAUGCCUCACAACUCAACCAAUACUCAAAUUAUUAAAAAGUUCACAUUUUUGUCAUGUUAAUACUUCGGCAUCUCAAGAUUCUAAGAAAAAAAGGUAAUUCUAAAGUAGUUUCUAAUAAU